GAUGAACGCUGGCGGCGUGCUUAACACAUGCAAGUCGAACGGAAAGGCCCAAGCUUGCUUGGGUACUCGAGUGGCGAACGGGUGAGUAACACGUGGGUGAUCUGCCCUGCACUUCGGGAUAAGCCUGGGAAACUGGGUCUAAUACCGGAUAGGACCACAUUUUGGAUGGUGUGGUGGAAAGUUUUUCGGUGUGGGAUGAGCUCGCGGCCUAUCAGCUUGUUGGUGGGGUAAUGGCCUACCAAGGCGUCGACGGGUAGCCGGCCUGAGAGGGUGUACGGCCACAUUGGGACUGAGAUACGGCCCAGACUCCUACGGGAGGCAGCAGUGGGGAAUAUCGCACAAUGGGCGCAAGCCUGAUGCAGCGACGCCGCGUGGGGGAUGACGGCCUUCGGGUUGUAAACUCCUUUCGCUAGGGACGAAGCGUUAUGUGACGGUACCUGGAGAAGAAGCACCGGCUAACUACGUG
rnacentral:rRNA from 1 species